rnacentral:rRNA from 3 species
GGGUUGUGAGGUUAAGCGACUAAGCGUACACGGUGGAUGCCCUGGCAGUCAGAGGCGAUGAAGGGCGUGCUAAUCUGCGAUAAGCGCCGGUAAGGUGAUAUGAACCGUUAUAACCGGCGAUACCCGAAUGGGGAAACCCAGUGUGACUCGUCACACUAUCAUUAACUGAAUCCAUAGGUUAAUGAGGCGAACCGGGGGAACUGAAAC